GGAUGAACGCUGGCGGCGUGCCUACUACAUGCAAGUCGAGCGAACAGACGAGGCGCUUGCUCCUCUGACGUUAGCGGCGGACGGGUGAGUAACACGUGGAUAACCUACCUAUAAGACUGGGAUAACUUCGGGAAACCGGAGCUAAUACCGGAUAAUAUAUUGAACCGCAUGGUUCAAUAGUGAAAGACGGUUUUGCUGUCACUUAUAGAUGGAUCCGCGCCGCAUUAGCUAGUUGGUAAGGUAACGGCUUACCAAGGCGACGAUGCGUAGCCGACCUGAGAGGGUGAUCGGCCACACUGGAACUGAGACACGGUCCAGACUCCUACGGGAGGCAGCAGUAGGGAAUCUUCCGCAAUGGGCGAAAGCCUGACGGAGCAACGCCGCGUGAGUGAUGAAGGUCUUCGGAUCGUAAAACUCUGUUAUUAGGGAAGAACAAAUGUGUAAGUAACUAUGCACGUCUUGACGGUACCUAAUCAGAAAGCCACGGCUAACUACGUG
rnacentral:rRNA from 1 species